rnacentral:lncRNA from 1 species
GGGCAGAGCAAGAACGGCACUUCUGACAUCAGAGGCUCCAGCUGAAAGGUUCCAAAUCUAGGAGCUGGAGUCCAUCACUCACAGGAAGAGAAGAUUAGGACACAGAGAUACCAGAGAGGUCAUUCACAGAGGAAAGACCACGUGAAGACGCAGUGGCCAUAUGCAAGCUGAGGAGAGAGGUCUCAGAAGAAACCAAUACUGCCAACGCCUUGGUCUCGGACUUCCAGCCUCCAGAACUGUCCUGGAUCAGAAGAUGCCUGACAAGAGGCCACUAUCAGCAGCAACAGCACGGUGGGGACAAACCUGAGACCUUGAUGGACCAUGGACACCAGCAGGAGAGACAGAGGAACUUGAAGUCUAAAUGGGCAGACAAGACCAACAGACACAAAGCACAGAGUGGCACAAGAGCCAUGUCUGAUGCAACAGUGACUCAGGAGGAUCACUCUGACUCAGAAUGGCCAAGCAAAGGUAUUGGGAGGAAGUGGGAUAGAACUGAGCUUUGAAGACUGUGCUAAAAUAUGUACAGACUCCCCAGGUUAUCUCAAGUUCUCUCCAGGAAUUAGCUUCACCUCUUUGUGCUUUGGCUCCACAUCAGUUAAAUAGUGAUAACAUUUGAUCGUUAAGAACCAUGUAGAAAUGAAACAAUUUUUCAAGUUUUCUAAUUAAGUGUAUUCAUUGCCACUCAAAGAUAAAUACCAUAUAAAUAUAAUAAUAAUCAUAUUGAGAAAUAAAAUAGUAAUGAUGCAGAUACUCAUGUACUGUUUCAUGUUUGUGGUCUUUGAGGGGAGUUUUUACUCAAAUAUCCCUAGAUGAAUAAAUACAUAUGGUC